CUGAUGUUGGUUGCUUGUGUCGCGAUCCACUGCAGAAGAGGGGAUCGGUAAGGGGUAGCAGGCGAGAGAGAAGGCUUACAUAGGAAGAAGAGGGUGGUCGGUGAAGAAAGAGGGGAAGAGCAGAAAUUCAUCCGAUUGGCGGUCUGGCACCAGUCGGCAGUCCAACCGUCAAUGAGAAGAUGGCCGCUGGGCUCGGUGGAAGUGUCGCCAUUGUUUAGUGUUUAGUUGUUUUACCGUUUCUCGCCUAAUUUCACGGGAAGCACGAUAAAAAUGCCAAGUGCGUCGUUCACAUCGUCGCGCAAUUACGUGCGAAGAUCCCGAAGAAAAGGUGCGAACAGGAUUCCGGUGCCUUCAAGAACCACCUCGGCCGAGCCAUGCGAUUUGCCAUGUUCAGCGUCAAAUCAGAUACCACCUGGUGGUGGAGUUGGUGGUGGAGGAGGAGGAGGAGGAGGUGGAGGUGGGGGUGGAAGCGGUGGAAGAGGAUCCUCACCUAGUGUUUCCGGUGUUGCAGCACCAUCACCUUCCCCAUCACAUUCACAUUCAUCUCCAUAUGAUUUAAGACGUAAAAGUCCACCUCAUCCGGAUCCUGCUCCUGGCACCAGUUCUGCUCUACCUCCUUCAGGUGGUAGUAGUAUAGGAGCCACUCUUGGUUCUUCCUCUCUACCGGCGAGAAAACGGCCCAGACGGACAUGUUCGUUAUCCACAGAUGGUACAAAUACAAAUACCGCAGCACAUUACCUUCAGUACGAGUUACCAGACGAAGUGCUGCUUACUAUAUUUAAUUAUCUAAUGGAACAGGAUCUUUGUAGAGUUUCGCAGGUCUGCAAACGUUUUCAAACGAUUGCGAACGAUACUGAACUAUGGAAGUCCUUGUAUCAACAAGUUUACGAAUACGACUUACCGCUGUUUAAUCCUGCGCCUUGUAAAUUUGAAUUUGUAUCCCCUGAUGAAUCAGACUAUCCAAAUGCAUGGAAAGAAAGUUUUAGACAGUUGUAUAGGGGAGUACACGUCAGACCGGGAUUUCAGGAUUUGAAAUUCAAAGGUCGAAAUUUGCCAUACUUUAAUACAGUUCAGGGAGCACUAGAUUACGUAGAUGAAUAUAGAAGCAAUAGCGGUACCUCGUCAAACAAUAGCACAACCACGAGCGGUCAAGGAAAUUGUUGUGGAAACAAUUCUCAUACAGCUGAAGAGGCACCUCAACAUUUAGUUUUCUUACAUGCCGGAAUAUAUAGGGGCGAAUUUCUCGUAAUUGACAGCGACGUUGCAUUAAUCGGGGCAGCACCCGGAAACGUUGCGGAAUCUGUUAUAUUAGAACGAGAAAGCGAAUCUACAGUUAUGUUUGUAGAAGGAGCGAAACGAGCUUAUGCUGGCCAUCUUACGUUAAAGUUUACCCCGGACGUUACCAGUACAGUACCACAUCAUAAACAUUAUUGUCUGGAAGUUGGUGAAAACUGCAGUCCUACAGUCGAUCAUUGUAUUAUUAGGAGUUCAAGUGUUGUUGGAGCAGCUGUUUGCGUAUCGGGUGUUGGAGCGAAUCCUGUGGUGAAAAAUUGUGACAUAUCCGAUUGCGAAAAUGUCGGGCUUUAUGUCACUGAUUAUGCACAAGGAACUUACGAAGACAAUGAAAUCUCUAGAAAUGCAUUAGCUGGAAUUUGGGUAAAAAAUUAUGCCAAUCCAAUAAUGCGAAGGAAUCAUAUUCAUCAUGGAAGGGACGUCGGAAUCUUCACAUUCGAUAAUGGUCUUGGCUACUUUGAAGCUAACGAUAUUCAUAACAAUCGAAUAGCAGGUUUCGAAGUAAAAGCUGGUGCUAAUCCAACGGUCGUACACUGUGAAAUACACCAUGGUCAAACGGGUGGUAUUUAUGUCCAUGAAAAUGGUUUAGGGCAAUUCAUCGAUAACAAGAUUCAUUCGAAUAAUUUUGCUGGUGUUUGGAUUACUUCAAAUUCGAAUCCAACUAUUCGCAGAAACGAAAUCUACAAUGGUCAUCAAGGCGGAGUAUAUAUAUUUGGAGAGGGAAGAGGCUUAAUCGAACAUAAUAAUAUUUAUGGUAAUGCCUUAGCUGGCAUACAAAUCAGAACAAAUUCAGACCCUAUCGUUAGACACAAUAAAAUACAUCAUGGACAGCAUGGUGGCAUAUAUGUACACGAAAAGGGGCAAGGUUUAAUCGAAGAGAACGAAGUAUAUGCCAAUACUUUAGCAGGUGUUUGGAUAACAACCGGAUCGACGCCGGUGCUAAGAAGAAAUCGUAUUCAUAGCGGAAAACAAGUUGGAGUUUAUUUUUAUGAUAAUGGACACGGAAAACUAGAAGACAAUGAUAUUUUCAAUCAUUUGUAUUCAGGAGUACAAAUAAGAACUGGAAGCAAUCCAGUGAUACGUGGGAAUAAAAUUUGGGGUGGACAAAAUGGUGGUGUUCUUGUGUAUAAUAGUGGACUAGGUUUACUCGAGCAAAAUGAAAUUUUUGAUAAUGCAAUGGCAGGAGUUUGGAUUAAAACCGAUAGUAAUCCUACAUUGAAAAGGAAUAAGAUAUUCGAUGGUCGGGACGGUGGAAUUUGUAUAUUCAAUGGUGGCAAGGGUGUUCUCGAAGAAAACGAUAUAUUUCGUAACGCGCAAGCAGGAGUGCUUAUAUCGACACAAUCCCAUCCUGUGUUGAGGAGAAACCGAAUCUUCGACGGAUUAGCAGCUGGCGUUGAAAUAACAAACAAUGCAACAGCUACGUUGGAGUUUAAUCAAAUUUUCAAUAAUAGAUUUGGUGGAUUGUGUUUAGCGAGUGGAGUUCAACCAACAACUAGAGGCAAUAAAAUAUUUAAUAAUCAAGAUGCUGUUGAAAAAGCUGUUGGAAACGGCCAAUGUUUGUAUAAAAUAUCGUCAUACACCUCUUUCCCUAUGCACGAUUUCUAUCGUUGUCAGACAUGCAAUACAACAGAUCGCAAUGCAAUUUGUGUGAACUGUAUAAAAACCUGUCACGCUGGACAUGAUGUGGAAUUUAUUAGACAUGAUCGAUUCUUCUGUGACUGUGGUGCUGGAACAUUAAGUAAUCAGUGUCAGCUUCAAGGUGAACCUACGCAAGAUACAGACACAUUGUACGAUAGUGCAGCACCAAUGGAGUCACAUACACUUAUGGUCAACUAGGAACUAACCUAAACUAAAUAAAACAAUCAAAUGACAUUGAAUCUGUAAGUCCAACAUAUUGCAAACAAGAAACAAUUUGUUGUUGAGUUCUUUAUUAUGACAAUUGUUCCUUCGUGUUCCCCGAUAUAGUUGUUAAUUUGUAAAGCAAUCGUUAUUGUUAAAGUGUUCCAACUUACGAUAAUUUCAUUAUCAUCGUUAUCGCCAUUCGAUCAUUCGUCUGAUUUUCAUUAUUUUUAUGAAAAUAUAUUCGAGAAUUUAUGAAUACGAUCAUCGAAUUAUAUUGUCAUUGUCAUCAUUGCUUCAUCAUCGUCAUCGUCAUUGUCAAAAUAAGAGAGUAUAUUUUUUAUUAGUAAAUUAGUACUCUAUAUUAAUGUAUAUCUUGAUACAAAUUAUACAUUGUUAGAUGUUUUCUUUCUUCUUUUUUUUUUUUAACGUGUAUAUAUAUUGCUUUUUAUUGAAAACGAUUACACAAGAUCAAGAUUAUCCCCGAAACUAUAUAAUAAAGAACUCUGCAACAAAAGAAAAGAGAAAGAAAUUGAUAAAAGCAAAAAAGCAAGUGACAAUGGAUUUCUUAUACACACAAAUCUUAUUAGGUAACAUCAAAUUUAUUUAAACGUGUAAUAAAACAAAAUACGCGUUAAUCGACUGGAAACACGUAACAGACUUCCCAUGUGACUUUUCAUUAAGUUUCUUUAAAUGUUAACUUCGUAUAUAAAAGAAAAGAAGUGCAGUGUGUAUGUGUAAAGAAAUGGAAAUAAGGUAUUAAGAAAUACGUGGUGAUCGUGAUGUUACGAGAUAAAAGGAGAGACUUUUUAAACAAUGAAGACAAUUGAUACGAUGCACUAGCAUUGAUUAAAAGUAACUCUUUCUAACCUCACGAUAUAAAAAAUAUAGUGUCGCGAAUGUAAAUUAUGUAUAAUUCGUAUCGUUAAUAAACGCGAACGAACUUGCAACACUAAACUAAUGGGGCUGUUUACUACUCGGACAGAAGUACGUCGACAUCAUAUAAAAUGUAAUCGAACAACUAGCUUCCAGGCAAGUGCGACUUUAUUAAUAAACACGUGAAUCUGUGGUACAAAUUUGGAAGGACGGACGAGAAACGUGCGAAACGAAGACCCAUUAAAGAACAGACUGAAACGGAUGUCUAAAAAAUGUGAUAUGUAAAAUUCACAACUCGAAUAAUCAAAAUGGAACAAACAUCUAUACAAUUCUAAGAAAAUUUCUUUUCGACGUAAGUGUACCUCAUAAACACACGUAUUACAAUUCUUCGAUUCUACUAUCCGCAUUGUGAAUAGUGAUGGCCCUAAGUUACCCGAUGGGGGAAGUGCAUAAUAAGACAAAAGUAAAAUAUUUAAAAAUAAAUUUAAACAAAAGAAUUUACAUAAUUAAUAUACGUCGGUGUAUACCAGUGAGAGAGAAAAAGCCAAGAUUUACGAGGAAAUGAUAAGAAAGCAAAGAAAAUGAUAUACUGUCCAAGGAACAGUGUUGAAAAAUAAAAAAUAGUAAUCUCGAAUUUUUAAAGUAAUCCGAUUUUUUUAAUAUUAUGUUAGCUGUAAAGUCUAAUCGUAUUAUUAUAAUUGUAUUCCAAGGGCGGACUCUUGUAUGAAAAAAAAGCAAAUGAAGAAAAAAAGCGCCUAUUAGCGAUAAUUUUAGAGGCAAGCGACAUCCAUUUAUGCAAAAUGAUGAAUAUGAAAUAAGUAGACGAAAUAAUGAAAUCACCAUUGUGGAUAAAAUUUUGUUUUACGUACAAGAUUUUACGAAAUCUCUCGUAAUUCAUUAUAUUGUAUGUAGUACUUUUGUAUAUCAUUUGGUAGAAUGUGUAACGAUUAGGGAUGUGUGGGUAACCGACAUUUUGAGCUCGGAUCGGGUCAGUUAAAGUCGGGCAGAUUCGGAUAGGUAUCCGAGAUAUCCUCGAGUCCGACUGUUUCGGGUUAAGCCAGAGAGAAAUAUGCAAUUCAUAAAUUUGUAAAUUUAACUAUAUUUAAAUUUGAAAUUUCUUAAUUCCAACUUAAUCCUCUAACUUGGCCCGAAAUACUUGGACACAGUUGAGCCUCAACAUCUCUAUGCUCGACCUUUUUUGAUUCGACCCGACAACUCAUGUAACUCGACACAUUCGAUUACUCGCACAUUCCUACGUAAUGGUACGUGAGAAUUGCCUUUGAACUUACUGACCUAAGGUCCGUAGUAUUAUACACCGCAGUGUCAUAUUAUACAUAGUGUAACUAUAUAUAAUGUCAAACAUAUUAUGUGCACUGAGAGUAAAAAGGAAAGAAAAAUAAUGAAACGUAUUUCAAAGGCAUUUUUCGUACGUGCACAUUAAAAAACGAACAACUCUUUACGUUCUUCGAGUGAUACUCUUUAUACGCUCUGUUGUUUUGUUUAAAGAACAUUCGUCCGUGAAUAAGUUUUUUCUUCCCCUUUUAUUAAACUUGAAACUUGGAGUAGAGGAACUACAGAAAAACAAAGAAAACAUACGAUAACGCUUAAGCGUUGUUGUAGCAAAAAUUUAUCUCACGCGCUCUCUACGUUAUAAUAACAUUACCAAAAUCAUUUUGUCGAUUGUUUUUCUUUCUUCUUUUUUUUUUAUAUUCUGCCUCGAGUAUUAUUUACAAAAUGUUAAAUAUUUGUUUAUAUGUUUAUCUGUUUACGUAUGUACAACAAAACGAAGUUGCAGGAGGAAAACUGUGGCAACUUUUUUAUAGUAUUUUCAACUCGCGAUCACACGGAACGAUUAAGUUGGAACAAGCAUUUUUUCUGUGAUUUCUAUCUUCUCACGGUUUCAAAGUAUGUUGAAUAAUUCUUAUGGCGAACAUUGUUUUGCGCAGCAGCCGUGAACGCAGUGAACACUUUACUUUAUGGUCUCGAUUAUGGAACAUUUCUGCGAGUGGCUUCCAUUUCUGCCUGUUCGAAUCAAAAAACGAGUACGUCCCGAUUAAACGAAGAUUGGCUCGCGUGGAUGCAAAAGAAACGAACGUUUGCACGAAGCCUUUAGCACAAAACUUCUGGGGAAAAAAUAAAGAAAAUGGAGUCGUUGAACGAUUCUUGUUCGGCUGCAGCACGAUUCUAAUGUUUCUGUUUCUUGUUGUUGGAUGUAUUUAGAAUGUAAGAUUUGAUCAGCAAUAGAAAUCUGUUGUGUUUGAACUCGUUGUAUUCCCGUGUAAAGAAAUCGACCGAUUGUUCUUCUGGAUAAAAAAGAAAGCGAACAGAAUUUCAAUUCAUGAGACGACAAAAACACAGCUAUGAAGUUUCAGUAGAAAGAAUAAAGCACACGAAUAGUACGUUGGAUGAAAUUUACGCUUCCCUUGAUUAACAGCAAGUGUGGGGGCGGAGUGAUCCACCGCUCGCCUUAUCUGUCCCUAUUCAAGGAGUCUUUGCGUUCUUUUGAAACUAAAAUAAGGUGGUUGUCUCCACCCGCUAUACUCAUUUUUAACCAAGAGAAGCCUGCGUUGCACCCGAACAGCAUAGACACAUUUAACAAAGCGUUUACGGUUAAAAAUUGGUACGUAGAACUAUGUUCAUAUAGUUUUCAUUCUGUUAUUUGUUCACAUAUACACAGUCGACGUUGUGUCACAUACUGCAGAAAAAAUACAAUGUUUCCUUCUUAUUUCAUUGUAAAAGUGUUACUACGUUUAUGUUACGGUGAAAGUAUUAAUUUAGUAAAUGUGUACAUUUACCAGAUAACGUAUCCGCAUUAAAUUUAUUGCGUGUGUGGUAUACACAUUUGAUAGUGAAAAUGUUAGUUCAAAAUGUGUUUUAGUUUACGUAUAUUUUUAUUAUAUAAGUUGUGUAAAUGUAUGCUUCUGUUAAUGAAAUUUAUAUUUGAUUGUAAGUACAUUUUAUUUAAUUAGUAUGUAGAUACGUUAGUUACGGUAAGUGUAUACAUUUACUGAAUUAAUGUAUUUACUGUAACACACACACACAAUUUAUAUACACAUAUAAUUCGCAUUAUACUUUCGUCGUUCCACUUCGUUCAUCAUUGUACAUUUUUGUCCGAUAUUUCAAAUUAUCGUGAGUGUAAAGUGUUCUUUUGUUAAGUGUCAUGUUAAUUGCAUUUUAUUUAUCAGAUCUUUCCCUAUUCUUCUUUUUGUAUCGCAACACACACACAUACACACAUCUUUCUUUCUCUUCUUAUCGUUUCAUUCCAUUGUGUACUUGUCCACCGAAAUAACUUUUACACCGACCUUUCAACCGCAAAAUACUUGCCAUUAAUUACGUUAGUUGCCAUAGUUCUCUCGGUUAUGUUUUUGCGGUGGUUAUUAUUAAAUAGAUUAUAUCGUAAUACGAAAAUUUCACGAGCAAAGUGUGCAAAA
rnacentral:misc_RNA from 1 species